AAUUUUGUAGUAUAAAAAUUACUUGUAGUUGCAGACUACAAAAUAUCAAAGAUCAAAAUUU
rnacentral:tRNA from 1 species